UAUGUUUCAUGGAGAGUCUGAGUGACAGCAACCAUGAUGAAAGUGAUACAGACUCAGUGGUGGAGAGCCUGAGCAGCCGCCAGGAUGAGGAGGCUGCAGACUCCUCUGGGACACCUUGAAGCCUCAGCCUGGGACUGGAAGAGUCCAAAAGUUUCCAUCUUGACCAGGAUACAAGAUUGACCUCACUCUUCAUCUAUUACGAGCCAACUUUAGUAUAAGCUUAGUUCUUUAUUGUCUAGAUUUAGUAUUAAGUUCUGAUACAUGUUUACUACUUGGUAUAUAAGAUUUUGGUAGAAUGUAAGAUUGUGUAUUAAAUAAUUGUUACCUAUCCAUUUGCUUUUUUUAAAACUAGUUUUCGAUAAAAUAAACACAGGUAUAGGAAAGCCCCCUUAAGCAGAGGUAGAACUUAAUGCACUGGAGUCAGGCAGUCACCCUAGUGUCCACCCCCUGUCCUGUCACCCGCAUCAGUCCUGACUGAAGAAGGGGACUGUGGAUUUAGUCCUGACCAACUGCCCUCAAGCCAGUUUCUUUCCAAGGAUUCUGUGGCCUCAUGUCGGUUUGUACCUUUGACCAUGGGAACUCUGUCACGCUCCCUCUUUCAGGAUGACAUGGUUGGCCGAGCCUUGCAUGCCCAGACCCUGGCUGCUGGAACAUCCAUAUCUCACCUUUUCCCUCCUCAUGUCUCUGACAUGUUUCUUUAUAUCCCAUGCCUGGAGUUGGUAUUUUUAAAACAUGUAGAGUGACACCGAAUGAGACACAGAUAAAAACUGUAAAAGUAAUUUUAAUAAAGUACACUUUGAUUGC
rnacentral:lncRNA from 9 species